GACGAACGCUGGCGGCGUGCCUAACACAUGCAAGUCGAACGAAGUGGCGAACGGGUGAGUAACGCGUAAUCAACCUGCCCUUCAGAGGGGGACAACAGUUGGAAACGACUGCUAAUACCGCAUACUGAAGGAGGGGAUUGCGUCGGAUCAGCUAGUUGGAGUGGUAACGGCCCACCAGGGCGAUGAUCAGUAGGCGGUUUGGUAGGAUGGACGGCCAAAAUUGGAAUGAGGCACGGGCCAGACGCCUACUGGAGGCAGCAGUGGGGAAUCUUCCGAAAUGGACGAAAGUCUGACGAAGCAACGCCGCGUGGGGGGUGACGGCCUUCGGGUUGUAAAGCUCUGUUAAUCGGGACGCGGUACCGGAAUAGGAAGCCACGGCUAACUACGUGCCAGCAGCCGCGGUAAUUC
rnacentral:rRNA from 1 species